rnacentral:rRNA from 1 species
CCUACGGGAGGCAGCAGUGAGGAAUAUUGGUCAAUGGACGCGAGCCUGAACCAGCCAAGUAGCGUGAAGGAUGACUGCCCUACGGGUUGUAAACUUCUUUUAUAUAGGAAUAAAGUGAUGCACGUGUGCCUUUUUGUAUGUACUUUAUGAAUAAGGAUCGGCUAACUCCGUGCCAGCAGCCGCGGUAAUACGGAGGAUCCGAGCGUUAUCCGGAUUUAUUGGGUUUAAAGGGAGCGUAGAUGGGUUGUUAAGUCAGUUGUGAAAGUUUGCGGCUCAACCGUAAAAUUGCAAUUGAUACUGGCAGUCUUGAGUACAGUUGAGGUAGGCGGAAUUCGUGGUGUAGCGGUGAAAUGCUUAGAUAUCACGAAGAACUCCGAUUGCGAAGGCAGCCUACUAAACUGCAACUGACAUUGAUGCUCGAAAGUGUGGGUAUCAAACAGGAUUAGAUACCCUAGUAGUC